rnacentral:rRNA from 1 species
GGGAAUAUUGCACAAUGGGCGGAAGCCUGAUGCAGCAACGCCGCGUGAGGGAUGACGGCCUUCGGGUUGUAAACCUCUUUUAGCAGGGAAGAAGCGAAAGUGACGGUACCUGCAGAAAAAGCGCCGGCUAACUACGUGCCAGCAGCCGCGGUAAUACGUAGGGCGCAAGCGUUAUCCGGAAUUAUUGGGCGUAAAGAGCUCGUAGGCGGU